GUUAUUUUGCAAAUCUUGGCUCCUGGCUGGUCGUGCAAUCUAAUAUUAUUAUAGUUUGAUAGUUUAUUUUAUUUUAGCACAAUAUUCAUUGGAUAAAAAAUACUAGAAUAGAGUCAGAAAUCAAGGAAGAAAUUGAAGCAUUCCUGAAUGCUCCAAUGGAUGUUGGCAGAAGCGCCCAUGAAUUAUCCUUGAAGGAUGAAUUAGACUAUGAGAAUCAGUCAAAAUUGUCCACAUGGACCAGAGAACAGACAGCCAAUCACCAGUUUCAGAGCACAAUUCAUUGAGUGGAGAAUCAGAUUCCAGGUUGACUAAGGCCAUUGAUAAAGAAGUGUGUGG